GGCGACCGCUGUGGGAGUCCGAUUAAGCCAUGCGAGUCGAGAGAAUAAGAUUCUCGGCAUACCGCUCAGUAACACGUGGAUAACUGCCCUGUGCUGGGGGAUAACCUCGCGAAAGUGAGAACAAUACCCCAUGGGUCACUAUGCCUGGAACGGUUAGUGGCUGAAAGCUCCGGCGGCACAGGAUGGGUCUGCGGCGUAUCAGGUCGUAGGGGGUGUAACGUACCUCCUAGCCUUCGACGCGUACGGGUUGUGAGAGCAAUUGCCCGGAGAUGGAUUCUGAGACACGAAUCCAGGCCCUACGGGGCGCAGCAGGCGCGAAAACUUGACAAUGCGAGAAAUCGUGAUCAGGGGACUCCAGUUGGCCGGAUCAAAAGUCCAGUCUGAACCGACUUUAAAUCGGUCGGGUAAUAGGGGCGGGAAGGACCGGUGCCAGCCGCCGCGGUAAUACCGGCGCCCCAAGUGGUCGUCACUAUUAUUGGGCCUAAAACGUCCGUAGCCGGUUUGGUAAAUCCGUGGGUAAAUCAGACAGCCCAACUGUCUGAAUUCUGCGGGGACUGCCAGACCUGAGACCGGGAGAGGUGCGGGGUACCUGCGGGGUAGCGGUAAAAUGCGAUCAUCCCGUAGAGACCACCUGUUGCGAAGGCGCCGCACUAGAACGGAUCUGACGGUCAGGGACGAAGCCUAGGGGCACGAACCGGAUUAGAUACCCGGGUAGUCCUAGGUGUAAACGCUGUGGACUUGGUGUCGGGGACCUUCUGAGGGUUUCCGGUGCCGGAGUGAAGAUGUUAAGUCCACUGCCUGGGGAG
rnacentral:rRNA from 1 species